GAGGGUAUAGCUCAGUGGUAGAGUGCAUGCUUAGCAUGCACAAGGACCUGGGUUCAAGCCCCAGUACCUCUG
rnacentral:tRNA from 1 species